GACGAACGCUGGCGGCGCGCCUAACACAUGCAAGUCGAACGAGCGAGAGAGAGUUUACUUUUUCGAGCGAGUGGCGAACGGGUGAGUAACGCGUGAGGAACCUGCCUCAAAGAGGGGGACAACAGUUGGAAACGACUGCUAAUACCGCAUAAGCCCACGACCCGGCAUCGGGUAGAGGGAAAAGGAGCAAUCCGCUUUGAGAUGGCCUCGCGUCCGAUUAGCUAGUUGGUGAGGUAAUGGCCCACCAAGGCGACGAUCGGUAGCCGGACUGAGAGGUUGAACGGCCACAUUGGGACUGAGACACGGCCCAGACUCCUACGGGAGGCAGCAGUGGGGAAUAUUGCACAAUGGGGGAAACCCUGAUGCAGCGACGCCGCGUGGAGGAAGAAGGUCUUCGGAUUGUAAACUCCUGUUGUUGAGGAAGAUAAUGACGGUACUCAACAAGGAAGUGACGGCUAACUACGUG
rnacentral:rRNA from 1 species